ensembl:lncRNA
CGUUCCCUUGUUUCGUUCCAGCAGAUCUGUGUUCACCAGUUCGUCCUUUGCGAUCCUCUCUGACCGCUGCUACCAUCAUUUUUACUUGUCGCUUGCUGCUCUCUUCUUCCCGCCUUACGUAGACUUUCUGAGCUUCCCUCAAUAAUUCAUCCAACCCUCUAUUCUGCCAGUCUUCUAACUUUUCAAUCUUCUUUCUAAUGUCUUCCCAUGAUUUUGCCACAAACUGAGUUUUGAGGAGCGCUUGCCCUAAAGGGUCGUCUGGAUUUACCCCAGAGUACAGCUGAAGGGCUUUCCUCAGUCGUUCCAGCCACUCAGUAGGGCUUUCAUCUUUCUUUUGCAUUUCAUUAAAUGCUUUAUUGAUAUUCUGGCCACGGGGUACUGCUUCUCUAAUUCCCUGAAUUACUAUAGUUCUCAGGUCCUGCAUAUGAGUUCUAUGCAUCGGAUCCUGAUUAUCCCAAUUAGGUCUUUGAAGUGGCCAUUUAAUAUCUGCUUGGGGUCCCUGGGCAUGUUGAGCAUCCCACAGUCUCAUUCCUGCUCGUCUAAUCAUAUCUCUUUCCUCGGUAGUAAAUAAUUGACCAAGGAUAGAUUGCAUCUCAUCCCAAGUAUAAAGGUUUGGUCCCAAAAAUUGAUUUAAUCUUUCUGCCACUCCCAGUGGGUCCUCAAUUAAGUUUCCCAUUUCAGUUCUUUUAAAAUCUCGUAGGUCAGCCGAGUUUAGGGGUACGGAAAUAUAUCCGAUCACAGGUUGAGGUCCCCCCAUGGGUAUUUCCCUUAGGGGGUACAUCUGAGCUGCCCCUUUUUGACUUCUAGUUACGCGUCUAGGAAGAGGGGGAGACCCUUGUUCCGACUCUGGUGGGGGAGUGGGCGCUCUGGGGACUUCUGUGGGAGCAGGAGGAGGAAUGUAAGGAGGGGGGGUUAGAAGGGUUUCGUCUAACUCUUCCUUCUUUUUCUUUUGUUUAGUUUUUAUUUCAUUCAGCGGAUAAAGUCUAGCUCUCGGUCUUUCUAGCCACACUUCCGCAUAUUGACUCUCCUCCGGGUUAAGGGGAUUUUUAUUAUUAACCCAGAGGUUUAAUUGCUGUCUUACCCAGUCUUCUUCUGACCCAUAGACUGGCCAAAAGACAUUUUUAGAAAUCUUCUUCCCUCCCCAUAUCUUAGUACAAUAUUCUAUCAUUUUUUGCUUAUCUUUCCCUAGGGUUCCAGGGGAAUAUCUCCAAUUGUCUAAGAUAUAUGCCAGAGGGGUAUUUUUAGGUACAGUGUGUUUGGUCCCAAAAAUUGAUUUAAUCUUUCUGCCACUCCCAGUGGGUCCUCAAUUAAGUUUCCCAUUUCAGUUCUUUUAAAAUCUCGUAGGUCAGCCGAGUUUAGGGGUACGGAAAUAUAUCCGAUCACAGGUUGAGGUCCCCCCAUGGGUAUUUCCCUUAGGGGGUACAUCUGAGCUGCCCCUUUUUGACUUCUAGUUACGCGUCUAGGAAGAGGGGGAGACCCUUGUUCCGACUCUGGUGGGGGAGUGGGCGCUCUGGGGACUUCUGUGGGAGCAGGAGGAGGAAUGUAAGGAGGGGGGGUUAGAAGGGUUUCGUCUAACUCUUCCUUCUUUUUCUUUUGUUUAGUUUUUAUUUCAUUCAGCGGAUAAAGUCUAGCUCUCGGUCUUUCUAGCCACACUUCCGCAUAUUGACUCUCCUCCGGGUUAAGGGGAUUUUUAUUAUUAACCCAGAGGUUUAAUUGCUGUCUUACCCAGUCUUCUUCUGACCCAUAGACUGGCCAAAAGACAUUUUUAGAAAUCUUCUUCCCUCCCCAUAUCUUAGUACAAUAUUCUAUCAUUUUUUGCUUAUCUUUCCCUAGGGUUCCAGGGGAAUAUCUCCAAUUGUCUAAGAUAUAUGCCAGAGGGGUAUUUUUAGGUACAGUGUGUACCCUCCCCAUGGGAGUCGAAGGCUUGCUGCCCUUCGCCCCCAU